ACAAACAAACAUAAUUACCAAGUGCUGUUGAGAUUUUGUCUUUAUGUAAUGCUAAUGGAUAGCCUAGCUCUUUCAAAAGUUCAAAAAUACACCUACCAACAACUCUAAACCGUACAAAAACAAAUGUAGAAGAUUCUUAGUCUUCCAGGUCUUCCAGUUUUAGGGGGAGGUAUUAACUGUCUACUUCUUGACAAAUGACAAUGUAUUUUCCCCUGCUUUCAGUUUUCAUGCUAAGCUAGGCUAACCAUGUAUUGACUCCAGCUCCAUACUUCACGCACAGAUGCAAGUGUGGUAUCAAUCUUCUUAUUUCACUCUCAUAAAUCAAGCAAAUAAAUACAUUUCUCGAAAUGUUGAAUCAUUUCCUUUAACAUUUUCCUCCUUCACAUUUGAACUGCCCUGAAACAUUACAGUAAGUAGUCUACCCAUCAUUACCGGCUAACAAUCUUAUAUUGACAUUACACAACAACAUGAAUACAUGUGCAAAUAAGACUAUCAUCACUUAACCGUCAAGCUAAUCUGUCUCCAUGUUACCCAAUGGUUAAUGGCACCAUUUAAUGCAUGUUAGGAAAUUUGUGUUUGCUUAACACCUGAGCAUUUUGUUCACUGUUCCAACAUUAAUCCAUGCAAGCCACUGUCAAAUCUAAGUGAUAAACAUCUCAAAUGCCGCUACAAUUUCAAUAUUGUCCUUAGGUGGAGGCCUGUUUUCAUUGGAGAACUGUCCAGUGAUAAAACCCUUAACAUUAUGUGCUGUCAGUAAGUAAGUAGCUGAGAUUUUGUAAAUACUGCGGUGCUGACCAACCAAAAACAGGCUCUGAAACGUUAGCUGUGUCCUAAUUCUAUAUACUGCAUACCAAUUCUAGGCAGGUUUUGAGUAUGUAGAGUGUUUAUAGUGGGGAAAAUGACAAAAUUAAGUAUACUCUAAAGUCAGGAUGCAUACAAAGUAAUGUUUGAUGUGCUCGAUGAUUAGUGUGCUGUUAAUGUACACUAUUCUCCCACCAUCCAGUGGAGCAACUUACAGUUGCAAAAAAAAGAUCCCCUCCAGCCUUGUUUUAAGAUAUAUACUCCGCUUUGAAUAGAAAGUUGUGUCUAAUGUGUUUUUUCCACUUGAAAAGUCCAAUUACCUACUUAAAGUCAUUAAAAUGACUUCUCCAUUAUGGGAAAAUCCAGAAUCUAUCAAUAUGUAGUAUUUUUAAUUUCAAAUGCUUUACUGAAAAAUCAUGGGAUGUACCAUGAUUGGCCUGCAAAAUUCUAGUGACGUCACAAAUCACACUCGUAGGUGCACUUAAAUUCAACAGAUGAAUGUGAAAACAGCCUUCUAGGGUCAAACUCUGCACAAACAUCACUCUGCAUAGUGAAACUCAAACAUCCAAUGGAAGGAACAAGAAGAAAAACACUUUUGAGUGAAGGUGGACUUUAAAUAUUCACAUGAUGGCUAUAUAGUUAACAGUCAAAGCCUGAGGUAUUGUUUGUAUAAAAUGAUGAAGUAUGUUAAUUUCUUGUAAACUACCACAAGAAUAAAUUCUCAGGAACACAGAGGAGAUUAGUGUCCUGAUACCGCCCUGCUCUCAGUGCCCCUUUGUCUCCAAUGUAACACAGUAAAGUUACAGUUAAGAGUGCAGCUUCAUUGUUCAGUAUGAGGUGUUUGUUCUUUUGACCACACCAUUUCACACAGUUCCAUAUCUCUUGAUCAUUAGUCAGGUCAGAUAAUAAGAGAACAAGGCUGUGGCCUAUUAAAAUUAACUACCUGGAACUGGUGGAUGGAGGGCCUGUGCAUAGGGCAGACUUAUAUAUGAUCCCUGCAUUUGGAGGAGGCCUACUUCCUUAUACCUACCGCACUCCAUUCCAGCGGAUCAAUAAGCACUGCUGAGUUCCAUUAAAAUGCAAUUGCGCCUUUUGGCCCAAAGGGUGUCUGGCUUGCCACCCGGUUACAAGCAAACUGACGGCUAAAAUAAUGCAGAACUGUGAAGGUGAGUAGAAAUGGUCAGGCUCAUUAAUUAAAAGCUGCCACGGGCCACUGAAGAUCUUUUCACAGCAGCCGGGGAAAGAGAAAAAAAAUUAUUAAAGAUAUUCAUGAGCUGAGUGAACAGGCAGGGUCCUGGGGGUAUCAGCUUUGCAUGAGGGUGCCCAUUCCUCUGGACGGGCUUCACUGCGGGUGUCAUCUGAUCACUGACAAUAAUGUGAGACAUUUCAUAAUUAUGAAUGGGGUGAGAGCAGAGGGAGGCCUGCCAUGCAACAGUAAUGAUGAAAGCAUUACAGCUGUGGCAGUGAGCAGCUAAUGACAAGCAAAACAGCAGCAGACUGACAGAAAGGGUGAAGCCAGGGCAGGGACCACCAGAAGCAUCCCAGUGGGACUCCCUGAUGUGGUUGGACUGUCAGAACAUUGAGAGUCUUCAAGUCACAAUGAGUCAGCACUUACCACAAACUAUUCAACACUGUAAGAUCUCUGCUGGUACACCCUAAAGACAACGAGAGCCCUGGACAACAGACUGAAUGAACAUCAGCCGUCUGCGAACACCAGACCAAAACCAGUCACAGCAGCCACUGGGGAGAAGUCAAGGGUCAUCGACUAGGAGUCAGCUGAUGGACAGAAUAAGAUCAAGACAGACAUUCACAUCUGAUGUUAGAGACAGGAGUUGCCAUAUUGUCCCAUAUACCACAUAUGAAUAUUUACCCAAUGACAUGAAUUCAACAUUAUGUAAUCUGCUUGCAAGUGACUUCACUUGUGUUGGUUGUAAAUAACAAAACUGGGUCAUUUUUGUUGUUCCAUGUAAGAAAACUAAGCAUUACUUCAUGCCACAGCAGCAGAAUGAGGAGAAGAUAUAGUUCACCAGACAUGGAUUGAUGAAUUUAUUAAAACUAUCAAAUGUGGGGCAA